rnacentral:rRNA from 1 species
UACGGGGGGAGCAAGCGUUGUUCGGAUUUACUGGGCGUAAAGGGCGCGUAGGCGGCGCAACAAGUCACUUGUGAAAUCUCCGGGCUUAACCCGGAGCGGUCAAGUGAUACUGUCGUGCUAGAGUGCGGAAGGGGCUACUGGAAUUCUCGGUGUAGCGGUGAAAUGCGUAGAUAUCGAGAGGAACACCUGCGGCGAAGGCGGGUUGCUGGGCUGACACUGACGGCUGAGGCGCGAAAGCCCAGGGGAGCGAACGGG